UGGGGAAUUUUGGACAAUGGGGGAAACCCUGAUCCAGCCAUCCCGCGUGUGCGAUGAAGGCCUUCGGGUUGUAAAGCACUUUUGGCAGGAAAGAAACGUCAUGGGUUAAUACCCCGUGAAACUGACGGUACCAGCAGAAUAAGCACCGGCUAACUACGUGCCAGCAGCCGCGGUAAUACGUAGGGUGCAAGCGUUAAUCGGAAUUACUGGGCGUAAAGCGUGCGCAGGCGGUUCGGAAAGAAAGAUGUGAAAUCCCAGAGCUCAACUUUGGAACUGCAUUUUUAACUACCGAGCUAGAGUGUGUCAGAGGGAGGUGGCAUUCCGCGUGUAGCAAUGAAAUGCGUAGAUAUGCGGAGGAAAACCGAUGGCGAAGGCAGCCUCCUGGGAUAACACUGACGCUCAUGCACGACAGCGUGGGGAGCAAACAGG
rnacentral:rRNA from 1 species